rnacentral:rRNA from 1 species
AUUGAACGCUGGCGGCAGGCCUAACACAUGCAAGUCGAACGAGUGGCGGACGGGUGAGUAAUGUCUGGGACACUGCCUGAUGGAGGGGGAUAACUACUGGAAACGGUAGCUAAUACCGCAUACCAUCAGAUGUGCCCAGAUGGGCUUAGCUAGUUGGUGGGGUAACGGCUCACCAGGGCGACGAUCCCUAGCUGGUCUGAGAGGAUGACCAGGCACACUGGAACUGCGGCACGGUCCAGACGCCCACGGUAGGAAGCAGUGGGGAAGAGUGCAAAAUGGGCGCAAGCGUGAUGCAGCGAUGCCGCGUGGAUGAAUGAGGCCUUCGGGUUGUAGAGUACUAUCAGCGGGGAGGCGUUACCCGCAGAAGAAGCACCGGCUAACUCCGUGCCAGCAGCCGCGGUAAUAC